GGCGGCUUAGUAUCUGUUCCGGUCUGAGAUCAAAGAGUGGAUGGCCUUCAGGAUUUUCAGACAAGGAAUUAUUCCUGAAGUAGGCAGUGCAUGGAGAGCCAAGGGCUUAUGCUUGAAAGGGGUUCUUACCUUCUAGUACUGAGACGUGAACCCAGAGGCUUCCAUACUAGUCCUACUGUGAGAGAUGAGGCAGAGACAGGAGAAUCACCAGAAAGUUAGCUGGCCUGGACCGAGCAGCAACAGCAGCAGCAGCAGCAGAAGCAGCAGAAAUGUGACCCUGUCUCAACAAGAUGAAAUAAAAAACUAAGUCUCAAAAGUUGACCUCUGACCUCCACAUGUACACCAUGGCAAGUCUGUGCCUGCAGUCUCAUUUGUGCACACACAUAGGAAUGAAUAAACAAGUAAAUGAAUAAAUAAAACA